UAGGGAAUCUUGGACAAUGGGCGAACGCCUGAUCCAGCCAUGCCGCGUGAGUGAAGAAGGCCCUAGGGUUGUAAAGCUCUUUUGGCGGGGACGAUAAUGACGGUACCCGCAGAAUAAGCUCAGGCUAACUUCGUGCCAGCAGCCGCGGUAAUACGAAGGGGGCUAGCGUUGUUCGGAAUUACUGGGCGUAAAGCGCACGCAGGCGGAUUGGUAAGUUAGAGGUGAAAUCCCGGGGCUCAACCUCGGAAUUGCCUUUGAUACUGCCAGUCUUGAGUCCGGGAGAGGUGAGUGGAAUUCCUAUUGUAGAGGUGAAAUUCGUAGAUAUUAGGAAGAACACCAGUGGCGAAGGCGGCUCACUUGCCCGGAACUGACGCUCAGGUGCGAAAGCGUUGGGAGCAAACAGGAUUAGAUACCCCCGUAGUCC
rnacentral:rRNA from 1 species